CCUACGGGAGGCAGCAGUAGGGAAUAUUGCUCAAUGGGGGAAACCCUGAUGCAGCAACGCCGCGUGGAGGAUGAAGGUUUUCGGAUUGUAAACUCCUUUUGUUAGAGAAGAUAAUGACGGUAUCUAACGAAUAAGCCCCGGCUAACUCCGUGCCAGCAGCCGCGGUAAUACGGAGGGUGCAAGCGUUACUCGGAAUUACUGGGCGUAAAGAGCGCGUAGGCGGGAUGGCAAGUCAGAUGUGAAAUCCUAUGGCUUAACCAUAGAACUGCAUUUGAAACUGUUAUUCUAGAGUAUGGGAGAGGUAGGUGGAAUUCUUGGUGUAGGGGUGAAAGGCGUAGAGAUCAGGAGGAAUACUCGUGGCGAAGGCGGCCUGCUGGAACAUAACUGACGCUGAGGCGCGAAAGCGUGGGGAGCAAACAGGAUUAGAUACCCGUGUAGUC
rnacentral:rRNA from 1 species